rnacentral:rRNA from 1 species
UACGUAGGUGGCAAGCGUUGUCCGGAAUCACUGGGCGUAAAGCGCGCGCAGGCGGCGAUCUACGUCUGGGGUGAAAGCCCGGAGCUCAACUCCGGGACUGCCUUGGAUACGGGAUCGCUUGAGGAUUGGAGAGGCAAGGGGAAUUCCACGUGUAGCGGUGAAAUGCGUAGAGAUCCGGAGGAACCCCAGAGGCGAAGGCGGCGCCCUGGCCCGACACUGACGCUCAGACACGACAGCAUGGGGAGCGAACGGG